rnacentral:rRNA from 1 species
AACUUUCAACAACGGAUCUCUUGGUUCUGGCAUCGAUGAAAAACGCACCGAAAUGCGAUAAUUAAGGUGAAUUGCAAAAUUCAGUGAAUCAUCGAAUCUUUGAACGCACAUUGCGCCCGCGGGAAUUCCACCGGGCAUGCCGGUUCGAGCGUCAUUU